GACGAACGCUGGCGGCGUGCUUAACACAUGCAAGUCGAACGCUGAAGCACCAGCUUGCUGGUGUGGAUGAGUGGCGAACGGGUGAGUAAUACGUGAGUAACCUGCCCUUGACUCUGGGAUAAGCCCGGGAAACUGGGUCUAAUACUGGAUGCUACAUGUCACCGCAUGGUGGUGUGUGGAAAGGGUUUACUGGUCUUGGAUGGGAUCACGGCCUAUCAGCUUGUUGGUGAGGUAAUGGCUCACCAAGGCGACGACGGGUAGCCGGCCUGAGAGGGUGACCGGCCACACUGGGACUGAGACACGGCCCAGACUCCUACGGGAGGCAGCAGGGGGGAAUAUUGCACAAUGGGCGAAAGCCUGAUGCAGCGACGCCGCGUGAGGGAUGACGGCCUUCGGGUUGUAAACCUCUUUCAGCAGGGAAGAAGCCACAAGUGACGGUACCUGCAGAAGAAGCGCCGGCUAACUACGUG
rnacentral:rRNA from 1 species